rnacentral:tRNA from 1 species
GUUUUCGUGGUGUAGUCGGUUAUCACAUCCGCCUAACACGCGGAAGGUCCCCGGUUCAAACCCAGGCGAAAUCA